rnacentral:misc_RNA from 1 species
AGGAGCUCGAGUAGAAAUGAUUGACUCGGCGAGUCAACUCGGUCUGCGCGUGGGAGAAUAGAACAGGAGGAUUUUCUGCCACAGCCUUCAGCAACUCGCUCUCGGAGACCCUAUUCUCGGGGUUCAAAGUUUUCGAUUCAACCAUCUUCUUACGGACGGCUUUUUCCACAGAGCUGUAAUCUGGCGGGAGAGGACGUUCAGCGCCAUUAGUAUCACACCAGUUGAGAAUCGUCGAUUUGAUGGCUAAAUUGGGGAUUACAGUAGUUAAAUCCGGAAUGGAACCAUCAUCGAGGGAAGGAGCGAAAUUCAGGUCUCGACAAACCUGGACAGAGACGCGCUCGAAGGUCUGACCGGAGGAGAC